GGUGGUCAACAAACAUGUGGAGGGAAGAGAUAUCAGUGUUUUAAAGAUAAUAGUGUAAGCUUGCCUCUACACAGAGUUUAACAUCCAAGCAGACAAGCACAUCACUCAAAGGACUUGCUAAAAAGUGACUUAUCUUCAAGUAAUUUGAGCCUAGCAUGGUUUUCCUUAUGUUUUUGUACACAACUCGGGACAAAAGGGAGGUGAGCCUGUAAUCUCAUGGGAAGUUCUGAAUGUGUAAGAUGGAAACAUAUCAAUCAGGAGACCUUGAGCAAAGACAACAGAGUAGCAGGAUGACCCAAACAGAACAGCAGUGGACAAGAGAAAACAGCAAGCAAUUAGAAGACGAACAAACAAUAGUCAACAUGAAAACCAAAUGGGAGAUUAUUAAAAUACAAAGACAAUUGACAUGUCGAGUAAUGGGGGAGAUUGAACAACUUUGGGAAGAGACACAAAGAGAGAGAAAUAAUAUCGAGUACUUGAAGACAAAUACAGAGCAGCAGCAGGAGGACAUUGACAGACUGACAGCUAAAAAACAUGAGCAGUAUUUAUUAAUAAAUAGACUGAGAAUACAGAUAGAAAAUAUUAUUGAGAAACUUGAGGAGAAUAAAAAUGAAGCCGCUCAAGAAGAAAUGCAACUUCUGAAAAUGAAGACUGAAAUAUACAGAGAGAGGGAAACUCUGGAAAGAAGACGUAAUGAACUAAUCAAUGAGCGACACAAGUUGGAAAUGAUCAAGUAUGAAAAGACAAAAUCACAAGAAAGUAAGGAACCCGAAGAACCCAUGGAGCAGAUAAAGAGAGAGCAGGAGAUUACGGAGAGGCUGAUGGUUGACUGUCUGCUCAGUCUAAUUAACAAAAAUAAGAAAAUAAUGCUUGAAGCAAAGCAGGCAAAAGAACAUAUGAAGAAAAACAUGGCAGACAUAAAGCAAGAGUUUCAGAGGAAUAAAAAGGAUAUUUCCCACCAUAGAGAUCAAAUUAAACUCAUCAAACACAAUAUGAAUGAAAAUAUUAACAAGAUGAAGCAAAGAACUGUUGAAAUGCAGAAAGCUGCAGUCCCAGAGAUACAAAGCAGAGAAAGGCAGAAAGAAGAAAGAGACACUUUCGGCACUGUGAAGAUUAAACUCCGCAGAAUCCAGGAAGAGAUGGAGAAACUUUGGGAUGAGCUGGAAGACAGCGUACAACAACUGGAAGUGACUGUGAGAGAGAAGCAGGAGCUAAAGACAAAGAGUGGUCAAAUGGAAGAUAUAAAAUCUGACUCAGACACAGAUGUGAGCAUAAAGAGAACACAGUGGAAAACAGCGAUGACUGCUGAUAUGCAGAGGCAAAAACAAAACUUAGAAAAUAAGUUGUCACAGGUCCAAUCUGAAAGAGACGAGAUACAAAAAAUCAAGACUAAAAUACAGACUGAGAGAGAGAACAUAGAGAGAGACAGGCAGUUAGCUAAAGCAGAAACGAAUGCAAUGAACUGUAUGAGGGAGAGUGCUGAAAAACAAAAACAGGAGCUGGACGACAAGUUACAGAGGACAAAGAAAGAGAUAAGAGAGAAGGAAGUGUUGAACACUGAGAUUGAAAUAAAGAUAAAAGACCUGGUAAAAAUAAUACGAAUGAGCAGGAGAAAAAAGGAAGGGAUCAGCAAGAUGAUGGAAGAGGCUGAAGAUGCUAAACAAGUCAUGGGGGAAAGACAAGAUGAGACUAAGGAGAAUUGGUCAGAGCAGGUGCUGCAGGUGAACAUGGAGUACAGAUUUGAUGAGCAGAAUAUAGGACUCCAGCAGGUUGACAGAACUAGAGACAUACAACAGCUUAAAGAACAUUCCUUUGAGGAAGACAACAUGGAAAGCACCAAGAAUAAAAUGAACACUGACAUGGAGAGAGUGAUUCUUGAAGUAAAAGAAAUCAGAAAGAUGCUGCGUAGGGUGAGAAAAGAGACAGGGCAAAGCAGGAAGGACUUUACAGAAGAAAAGAGACAAAUCCAAUGGAUGAAUUUUCGAUUUGAAAAAAAUAAACGAGAGCUUGACCAACAGCUGGAAAAGAGCAUUAAAGAGAGGGAUGAGAUGGAAAUCAUGAAGGUAAAGAUACAACAACACAGGGAAGAGGUCAAACAAAAACUGGAAGUUACUAUAACUACAAUUCUGACUAUGGGUGAGAUAAAAGCUAGCAUAGAAAAAGCUGCUGCAGAGAUGAAAAAUACCAGGGAGGAGAUGCUCGAAGUCCAAAGGAAGACAAACCAGAACAAGGAAGAGGUCAAGAAGUAUGUAGAUAAGAUGACUUCCAUGAAAGUUCAGGUCAGCAAAUGGAUAUUGACUGAAUCUGCAAUCAAAAAGACCUUUUCAAGGAAUACAUCUAAACUUCAAAUAGCACAGAAAGAAACAGCCAGAGACUCUCUCAAGGAUCAAGCAUUUGAAAUUCUAACAGACAAAGAAGGUGUAGAAGAUGAAAUUACAAAAGAAACCAUGACUAUACCAUUAGAAGACCAGCCUCAAAGUGAAGAUACAAAUGAGCAUUCAGAGCACAAACAGAGACAAGGACUCAAUUUUUUUGCAGUGGACAUGAAAGAGGAGCAGAAUGUUUUCUUACAGAUGCAGACCAAAAUCUAUGAAGAAACAUUAAUGGAUGAUGAUCAGACCAAAUUAGUGAUACAUGUAAGAGAAAUGGAAGUAGAAAAGCAGAUGUUCAAACUCAAGAAGAGAGAGGAUAAAUUAAGGGAACAAAUAAGGUACGCUAUGGAGAACAUGGAGGAAGACAAUAAAGAGAUUAAAAGGAUCAUUAUGGACAUAAAUGACCUGCAGAGCCAGAAACCAGAGGCUGAAAAUUGCUUACCAAUUACAGUCAGGGAAAGCACAAAUGUUUUCAAAGAUGAAAUCGUUGAAUAUGAAGUGAACAUGCAAAAACAGGAGGAUGACAAUAAGGUGAAACAAGAAGUUAUUGAUGUUGUUGAGAAGCAAAAACAAAGUCAGGAUUCAAGAGAAAAUAUACAGAUACAUACUGAGGAGAUUGAUGGAGGUUAUGAUAAAAAGGACACAGGAAGUGCUGAUAUACAAAGACUUAGGGCUGAGAUUUAUAGAACACAAAAUAUUAUAAGACAAGUAAAACUAGAACUUGAAAACCAAGAUGAAGAAAGCAAUAUCGACAAAGAUCAUAGGGAUAACGACAGUGAAAUUGAAGGAUUACUACAAGACAUGAAACAAUUCCAAGAGCUUUUAAAACUGCUAAAAACUGCAAUGAGGCAAAAUAAAAUGCAUCUGAAAGAAAAAAUGAGCAACAUGAAAUUGAGGAAAACUGCAGCCAAAAAACUGAAGAGAAAACUGGAUCAGAGGUUAGAGAAAACUUUGAGAGACAGAGAUGAAUUUGAUCAUUUAAAAAUAAAAAUGCAGAAACAAACUGAAGAGACAGAGGAGAAGUUGGAGAAAAUGACAAAAGUUAAGAGGACUGUCGAGGAAAUUGCUGCAAGGACUAGACAGAAAAGUGAAGACACAGAGAUUAUUAUGAAGCAGACCCAAGUAAAACUGAGACAGUUGGAAGACUUGAACUAUAGGAUUGAGGCUACAAAACAAGAACUGGAAAACAGCCUUGCUUUUACAUUCCAGGAAAGAACUGACCUUGAAAAAGUCCACACUGAAAUCAGACAGAAAAAGGACAGAGAAUGUGCCUUGGAAAGUACUGAGAGAGAGAAGGGAGACAUAAAGCAAUGUGAAAGAGAUGAAACAGAUACAGAAAGGGACAAAAUGAUUAAGAACAGAAUGGGUAAAGACAUUGAGGAAAUGGAAAAUGAAAUCUUCAGACUCAGAUCAAAAAAAGAGAAACUGGAGAAGGAUAUAAAACUGACAAUGGUCAGUUUGGAUCUGAAAAAUAGUGAAAUUGAACAACUGAAAAAGUCUAUAAGUGAGGAAGUUAAACAAAAGACUGAGAGAGAAGAGAUUGAGAUGCUGAAACAACAGAUUCAAGUUGAGCGGGAGAAUGUGAGAAAAGAAAGACAACAAGAAAUACAUGAGAUGAACCGUUUAAGGGAGAAUAUCGAAAGACAGAAACAGGAGCUUGAUGACAGAGUGCAAACAACCAAAACAGAAAUAAGAGAAAUGGAGAUACUGAAGUCAGAGCUGGAAAUAAAGAAAAAAGAAAGUAAACAGAUAUAUAGAACAAGCAUGCGAAAAAUGGUGGAGAGUGAAAUGAGGUGGAAUGACAUACAAAGAGAAAGGGAAGUACUGAGGAGAGAGACCAAAAAGAGAAGAAGAGAAUUAGACCAAAGACUGGAAGAAACCAUGAGAGAGAGGGAUGAGUCAGAAAUGUUGAAGAUAAAACUGCAACGGCAGAAAGAGGAGCUGGCUGAGGAGAAACAGAGAUUCAAAGACCAGAUAACUCUGAUCCAAGUAUACAGAGAACAUGAAAAACAAAGUCUGGAAAAGCCAGAGGUGAAAAACUUCAGGGAGAAAAUUCAAAUGAUCCACCAAAGCUCAAAGGACACUGAUUCCAUUAUUGGCCUUCAAAACAUGAAACAAAAUAUUCAUGUACAUUUGAAAAUAAUUAGGAGAGAAAUGGGAAUUCUGGAAAAUGUAAAUGUUGAUUUAGGGGAACAAAGAGAAGGGCUCAAAGCAAUACAAGCUGAGAACAGGACUGUAGCUGAGCCAAACAGUGAGCACAACAUGAGCCAAAUCAAAGAUCUGAUAAAGAUGAACUUUGUCAAAAUGACAAUACAGGCAGAAGCAGAUUUGGUUGAAAUGGUGCACAUGACGGACGGUAUCCAAAAACAAAAACAGUGGCUUGAAAUCACACUAGAAGAAGUUAAAAGACAAAGAAGAGAGAUUGAAGUGUUGAAGUCUGAAAUGGAGGGGAAAAAAAAUGAAAAUCAACGGAUGAUCCGAAAAGGCAUUCAAAAAGAGCAGGAAGUUAAAAAGAUGUGGGCUGAGGUCAAAGAAGAAGAAGAUGCCCACAAGAGGGAGAGAAAGAAGAGAAAGAAAGAGCUCGACCAGCGACUGGAGAGGAUCAGCAGAGAGAGAGACGAACUGGAGAUCAUGAAACUAAAGAUGCAAAGAGAAAAGGACGGGAUCAAAGGUGGAAUAGAAGUGUCCAGGAUGGCAACAGUCACACAAGUUCCAAAUCCAAUUCAAAAGCACUGGGGGCUAAUUCAGACAUGUAUGGAGAAAUAUAAAGUCAUGGAAAAACUGAAUGAAGAUUGGAAUGGAGCAAUUAAAGAUGAAAAACGACACAUGGAGGCCCAGGCAAAGAUCACAACCCAGGAAAGAGAGAAAGUGGAAAAUAUCAAGAUGGAGAUUCAAAGACAAAAAGAAAUAUUAUGUGCUUUAAAGAACAAGCAACAAAAGCAAACACAUUUGGAGCAAGAGGAGAUUAAUAUAGUUAAAGAGAGAGAGAAAGAGAUUCUCAAAGCUGAGACAAUGAUCCUCAAAGAUGGACGACAGAAAGAAAAGAAAGAACACAGGGUAAUAAAGAGGCCAUUUAAUGUGAGUGAGAAAAUACAGAAUGAGUUAGAUGAAUUAAAAGAAUUAACAAAGGAAGACCAAAGUGGAAAAGGGCGAAAUGAAGAAGAGGUGAAAUUAAAAAGUGAAAAGAAAGAAAAAACAUCUUCAAAUGAUUGUACAGACACUCUUGUGUUAAAACAGAAUGAACCACCUAGAAAUUACAAUAAGGAGAAACUAGAACCUUUAAAAACAAAAAUUAUGAAUGAAAAACCUGAAAUUGCAACAAGAAAAGAGAAAUUCCAAAGUAAAAGGAAACUGAAAGUUGGGUUUCAAGAAUUAGGCGAUGUAAAUCUAAACCAGAAGAGAGACAAGGGCCUGAAAGAUGUGGCUGGAACUAAAACAUUGAUAAACCAACAUGAAUUAAAAUCUGACAAAACAGAAGAUGAUAUGCAUAAGGAAAUUCACGACGUAAAAGAAAGUGAACAUGGAGAAGAGGAAAAACACAUGCUUAAAAAUAAAUUGAUUGAGCAGGCAAAAAGAGAAGAAAUGGAAUCGGAAAAGGAGGAAGUAAAAAGUGCAAAGAAAACUGAGCUCUUAGACACAGAAGGGCUGAUAAAAAAGAGAGAGGAUCUGGAUAGAGAGAGUGAGAAGAUGAACAAAGAGAAACUGCACUUGGAGCUGAUGACGUCUGACAUCCGGAAACAAAAUGACGUAUUACAACAAGCGAUACAAGAUAUACGAGAGGAAAGAGACGCAUUGGAAACAACAAAGUCUGAGCUACAAAAGAAGAAAGAACAUGCAGACAGUCAGUUUGAUGAGAUAAACAGAGAGAAAAGCAACAUUAAAGAUCUGACCCUUCAGCUUCAGGCACAAAGACUCAAACUGGAGAAUGCCAUGAACAUGAUCACCCGAAAACAAGAAGUACAAGAACUCAAGGAAGACCAGUUCAAGAGACAGACACAAGCCCUGGAAACCAGUAAGAACAAUGUACUGGCUGAAAAAGAAGAGCUGGAGCUUUUGAGGAAGGAUCUGAACAAGAAGAAAGAAGAGGUUGAUGCUACAAUGAACACCAUGAGUGGAGAGAGAGUAAUACUCACUAAAAUGAAGACUGAAGUAGACAUGGAAAGGGAAAUGCUUUCAGAUGAUGAGCAAAGACUAAAAGAACUGUCGGAGCUGAAAAUAAAAGCCGAUCAGUUCAAUGAUAAAAUGAAAUACAUUGAAAGUCUGAGAGCAAAACUCAAACAUUUCAGUGAAACAACACAAGAAAAUAUCAAGAACAAAAUGGAGAGAUUAGCACAACAUGCUGAAGAUGUGCAAAAGCUAUGUAGUGUCCUCGAUCAAAAGCAAACAGAACUUGAUGAAGACAAAAACAAGUUGCUUGAUUACAUUCAAGUGUUUAACAGAGAAAAGCAACAUCUCAUCACUACGAAAUCAGACAUGUUCCAGAACAGAAAUGAAAUGGAAGCACAAGAUGGUGGAAAACUAAAGACAGAGAUGACCCAAGAGAGAGAAGAUCAGAAAAGUAUCAACGGCAUUGUGGUCAAAGAGAAAUUGGCCUUGGAGCUGAUGAAGUCUGACAUGAAGAAACAAAUUAACCUGUUAGAACGACACAGACAAGAAAUGAAAGAGAGAAAAAAUGAGCUUCAAAUCACAAUGACUCAGCUGAAAGACCAGAAGGAACACAUCAACUUCUUCCUUGAUGAGAUAAACAGAGAGAAAAUACAUGUUAAAGAGCUGGCCCUUCAGCUUCAGAAAGAAAACAUCAAAGUUCAGAAUGCAACAAACAUUAUUGCUCUGACACAAAGGGAACAACAUCGCAAAGAUUCUGACAUCUGGAGACAAACACAAGAACUGCAAUACAAUAGAAAAAUCGUACUGGCAGAAAGAGAAGAGCUGGAGCUUUUGAGGAAGGAUCUGAACAAGAAGAGAGAAGAGGUUGAUGCUGCAAUGAACACCAUGAGUGGUGAGAGAGAACAACUGUAUCACAUGAAGAGAAGUACUGACAUGGACAUAGCAAUGCUCCAUAAUGAAAAGGACAGAAUGGAAGGAGAAAGGUCUGAUCAGAAGAAAGAGAGAGAGCAUCUGGAUAGAGAGAGUGAGAAGAUGAACAAAGAGAAACUGGACUUGGAGCUGAUGACAUCUGAUAACCAGAAACAAAGUGACAUAUUAGAACAAAAGAUACAAGAUAUACGAGAGGAAAGAGACACAUUGGAAACAACAAAGUCUGAGCUACAAAAGAAGAAAGAACAUGCAGACAGUCAGUUUGAUGAGAUAAACAGAGAGAAAAGCAAUAUUAAAGAUCUGACCCUUCAGCUUCAGACACAAAGACUCAAACUGGAGAAUGCCAUGAACAUGAUCACCCGAAAACAAGAAGUACAAGAACUCAAGGAAGACCAGCUCAAAAAACAAACACAAACUCUGGAAACCAAUAAAAACAGUGUACUGGCAGAAAGAGAAAAGGUGGAGCUUUUGAGAAAGGAACUGAACAAGAAGAAAGAAGAGGUCGAUGCUGCAAUGAACACCAUGAGUGGAGAGAGAGAACAACUGUAUCACAUGAUGAGAAGUACUGACAUGGACACAGCAAUGCUCCAGAAUGAAAAGGACAGAAUGGAAGGAGAAAGGUCUGAUCUGAAGAAAGAUAAAGAGGAUGUGGAUAAUGAGAGUGAGAAGAUGAACAAAGAGAAACAGGACUUGGAGCUGAUGACAUCUGAUAUCCGGAAACAAAGUGCUGUACUAGAACAAGAGAUACAAGAUAUACAAGAGGAAAGAGAUGCAUUGGAAACAACAGAGUCUGAGCUACAAAAGAAGAAAGAACAUGCAGACAAUCAGUUUGAUGAGAUAAACAGAGAGAAAAGUAACAUUAAAGAUCUGACCCUUCAGCUUCAGAAACAAAGACUCAAACUGGAGAAUGCCAUGAACAUGAUCACCCGAAAACAAGAAGAACAAGAACUCAAGGAAGACGAGUUCAAAAGACAAACACACACCCUGGAAACCAAUAAGAACAGUGUACUGGUAGAAAGAGAAAAGGUGGAGCUUUUGAGGAAUGAACUGAACAAGAAGAAAGAAGAGGUCGAUGCUGCAAUGAACACCAUGAGUGGAGAGAGAGAACAACUGUAUCACAUGAAGAGAAGUACUGACAUGGACACAGCAAUGCUCCAGAAUGAAAAGGACAGAAUGGAAGGAGAAUGGUCUGAUCUGAAGAAAGAGAGAGAGCAUCUGGAUAGAGAGAGUGAGAAGAUGAACAAAGAGAAACUGGACUUGGAGCUGAUGACAUCUGAUAUACGGAAACAAAGUGACGUAUUAGAACAAGAGAUACAAGAUAUACGAGAGGAAAGAGACGCAUUUGAAACAACAAAGUUUGAGCUACAAAAGAAGAAAGAAUAUGCAGACUGUCAGUUUGAUGAGAUAAACAGAGUAAAAAGAAACAUUAAAGAUCUGACCCUUCAGCUUCAGACACAAAGACUCAAACUGGAGAAUGCCAUGAACAUGAUCACCCGAAAACAAGAAGAACAAGAACUCAAGGAAGACCAGUUCAAAAGACAACAACAAACCCUGGAAACCAAUAAAAACAGUGUACUGGCAGAAAAAGAAGAGCUGGACAUUUUGAGGGAGGAUCUGAACAAGAAGAAAGAAGAGGUCAAUGCUGCAAUGAACACCAUGAGUGGAGAGAAAGAACAACUGUAUCACAUGAAGAGAAGUACUAAAAUGGCUAUAGCAAUGCUCCAGAAUGAAAAGGACAGAAUGGAAGGAGAAUGGUCUGAUCUGAAGAAAGAGAGAGAGCAUCUGGAUAGAGAGAGUGAGAAGAUGAACAAAGAGAAACUGGACUUGGAGCUGAUGACAUCUGAUAACCAGAAACAAAGUGACGUAUUAGAACAAAAGAUACAAGAUAUACAAGAGGAAAGAGACACAUUGGAAACAACAAAGUCCGAGCUACAAAAGAACAAAGAACAUGCAGACAGUGAGCUUGAUGAGAUAAACAGAGAGAAAAGCAAUAUUAAAGAUCUGACCCUUCAGCUUCAGACACAAAGACUCAAAGUGGAGAAUGCCAUGAACAUGAUCACCCGAAAACAAGAAGAACAAGAGCUCAAAGAAGACCAGUUCAAAAGACAACAACAAACCCUGGAAACCAAUAAAAAAAGUGUACUGGCAGAAAGAGAAGAGCGGGACAUUUUGAGGGUGGAUCUGAACAAGAAGAAAGAAGAGGUCGAUGCUGCAAUGAACACCAUGAGUGGAGAGAGAGAACAACUGUAUCACAUGAAGAGAUGUACUGACAUGGACACAGCAAUGCUCCAGAAUGAAAAGGACCGAAUGGAAGGAGAAUGGUCUGAUCUGAAGAAAGAGAGAGAGCAUCUGGAUAGAGACAGUGAGAAGAUGAACAAAGACAAACUGGAUUUGGAGCUGAUGACAUCUGAUAUCCGGAAACAAAGUGACAUAUUAGAACAAAAUAUACAAGAUAUACGAGAGAAAAGAGACACAUUGGAAACAACAAAGUCUGAGCUACAAAAGAACAAAGAACAUGCAGACAGUCAGUUUGAUGAGAUAAACAGAGAGAAAAGCAAUAUUAAAGAUCUGAACCUUCAGCUUCAGACACAAAGACUCAAACUGGAGAAUGCCAUGAACAUGAUCAUCCGAAAACAAGAAGAACAAGAACUCAAGGAAGAACAGUUCAAAAAACAAACCCAAACCCUGGAAACCAGUAAGAACAGUGUACUGGAAGAAAGAGAAAAGGUGGAGCUUUUGAGGAAGGAACUGAACAAGAAGAAAGAAGAGGUAGAUGCUGCAAUGAACACCAUGAGUGGAGAGAGAGAACAACUGUAUCACAUAAAGAGAACUACUGACAUGGACAUAGCAAUGCUCCAGAAUGAAAAGGACAGAAUGGUAGGAGAAUGGUCUGAUCUGAAGAAAGAGAGAGAGCAUCUGGAUAGAGAGUGAGAAGAUGAACAAAGAAAAACUGAACUUGGAGCUGAUGACAUCUGAUAUCCGGAAACAAAGUGACGUAUUAGAACAAGAGAUACAAGAUAUACGAGAGGAAAGAGACGCAUUUGAAAUAACAAAGUCUGAGCUACAAAAGAAGAAAGAACAUGCAGACAGUCAGUUUGAUGAGAUAAACAGAGAGAAAAGCAACAUUAAAGAUCUGACUCUUCAGCUUCAGACACAAAGACUCAAACUGGAGAAUGCCAUGAACAUGAUCACCCGAAAACAAGAAGAACAAGAACUCAAGGAAGACGAGUUCAAAAGACAACAACAAACCCUGGAAACCAAUUGGAAACAAAUAAUGUACCCAAACAAAAAUGAAUGCGAUAAUUCAAAAUGUCAGGUAUUUCUGCAUCAAGUUUGACAUGUG
ensembl:lncRNA golgin subfamily A member 4-like